rnacentral:rRNA from 1 species
UACGGGGGGGGCAAGCGUUGUUCGGAAUCACUGGGCGUAAAGGGCGCGUAGGCGGCCUGAUAAGUCGGGGGUGAAAGCCUGUGGCUCAACCACAGAAUUGCCUUCGAUACUGUUGGGCUUGAGACCGGAAGAGGUAAGUGGAACUGCGAGUGUAGAGGUGAAAUUCGUAGAUAUUCGCAAGAACACCAGUGGCGAAGGCGGCUUACUGGUCCGGAUCUGACGCUGAGGCGCGAAAGCGUGGGGAGCAAACAGG